AGAGUUUGAUCCUGGCUCAGAAGGAAACCUAGCUAUAUGCUUAACACAUGCAAGUCGAAAGUUGUUUUCCGGGGAGCUAGGCAGAAGGAAAAAAGGCUCCUAGCUAAAGCUAGCUUGUCUUGCCCAGGAGGUGAGAAGAGUUUAGAACAAAGUGUCGAACGGGUGUGUAACGCGUGGGAAUCUACCGAACAGUUCGGGCCAAAUCCUAAAGAAAGCUAAAAGGCGCUGUUUGAUAAGCCUGUAUAGUCUUAGGUAGUUGGUCAGGUAAAGGCUGAUCAAGCCAAUGAUGCUUUGCUGAUUUUUUCAGAUAAUCAGCCGCACAGGGUCUGAGACACGGCCCGGACUCCCACGGGGGGCAGCAGUGGGGAAUCUUGGACAGUGGGUGAUAGCCCAAUCCAGCAAUAUCACGUGAGUGAAGAAGGGCAACGCCGCUUGUAAAGCUCUUUCAUCGAGUGCGCGAUCAUGACAUGACUCGAGAAAGAAGUCCUGACUAACUCCGUGCCAGCAGCCGCGGUAAGAUGGGAGGGAGGGGCAAGUGUUCUUUGGAAUGACUGGGCAUAAAAGGGCACAUAGGAGGUGAAUCCGGUUGAAAGUGAAAGUCGCCAAAAACUGACGGAAUGCUCUCGAAACCAAUUCACUUGAGUGAGACAGAGGAGAGUGGAAUUUCGUGUGUAGGGGUGAAAUUCGAAGAUCUACAAAGGAACGCCAAAAGCGAAGGCAACUCUCUGGGUCUCUACCAACACUAGGGUGUGAAAGCAUGGGGAGUGAACAGGAUUAGAUACCCUAGUAGUCCAUGUCGUAAACGAUGAGUGUUCACCCUUGGUCUACGCAGAUCAGAGGCCCAGCUAACGCGCGAAACACUCUGCCUGGAGAGUACGGUCGCAAGACCAAAACUCAAAGGAAUUGACGGGGGCCUGCACAAGCGGUGAAGCAUGUGGUUUAAUUUGAUACAACGCACAAAACCUUACCAGCCCUUGACAUAUGAACAACAAAACCUGUCCUUAAUAGGAUGGUACUAACUUCCAUAUAUGUGCUACAUGACUAUCGUCAGCUCGUGUCGUGAGAUGUUUGGUCAAGUCCUAUAACGAGCGAAACCCUUGUUUGCUAAAACAUGUGCCUAAGGCCGUUAAGGGCAACCGAAGUGAACUGAGGAGCCGAGUGACGUGCCAGCGCUACUAAUUGAGUGCCAGCACGUAGUUGUGCUGUCAGUAAGAAGGUAGCCGGCGCCUUUCGAUGCACUUUCUAGUUAGCGCUUUAGUUUUAUUACAGCUAGCACGCUUGACUAGUAAGAAGACUCCGCAUUCAGGCGAGCUGCCCGGUGGGAUCGUACGUAGUGGAUUUAGUACGCCAUGCCAAAACGGCUCUGAAACAAACCAAAAGGUGUGUGCCGCACCCACAAAGGACUGCCAGUGAUAUAUUGGAGGAAGGUGGGGAUGACGUUAAGUUCGCAUGGCCCUUAUUGCUGGGCCACACAAGUGCUACAAUGGUAAUUAUAAUGAGAAGCAAGGCUGUAAGGCGGAGCGAAUCCGGAAAGAUUCCCUCAGUUCGGAUUUUUCUCUGCAAUUCGGGAACAUGAAGUCAGAAUCACUAGUAAUCGCAGAUCAGCAUGCCGCGGUGAAUAUGUAUCCGGGCCCUAUACACACCACCUAUCACACCCUAAGAAUUGGUUUUGCCCGAAGCAUCGGACCAAUUAUCACUUCUGUGUCACACUAGUGCCACAAAGGCUUUUGGUGGUCUUAUUAGCGCAUACCACGGUAGGGUCUUCGACUGGGGUGAAGUUGUAACAAGGUAGCUGUAGGGGAACCUGUGGCUG
rnacentral:rRNA from 1 species